rnacentral:tRNA from 1 species
ACCCCUUUGGUCUAAUGGAAUGACGGCACGAAGUAAGGUUGGGGGAUUCGUGCAGAUAGCGGUUCGAGUCCGCUAAGGGGUG